CAAAGCAUCAACUUCGGCAAUCAUGGACCACAGUGUGUACUACUGCCUUGUAGCUCUUCUUCCACUUGUUUACUUCCUUCUCAAGUCGUCGUGGAAGAAAGCUCCCUUCGGAUCUGGUAGCCGCCAUGGACUAAAGCUCCCUCCAGGCCCAUGGCAGCUCCCUGUCAUCGGCAGCAUCCACCAUCUCCGCGGCUCCCUCGUGCACCACGCUCUGAGGGACCUAUCGCUCCGCCAUGGGCCUCUCAUGUUCCUCAAGCUGGGCGAGGUCCCAGUGGUCGUAGCAUCCACGCCGGAGGCUGCGAAAGAGGUGAUGAAGACCCACGACGCCAUCUUCUCGACCAGGCCACUGAGCUCAACCAUUAGGACGGUCUCCAAGGAUGGCCUGGGCAUCGUCUGGGCUCCGUACGGCGACCACUGGCGGCAGCUCCGCAAGAUCUGCACCAUGCAGCUGCUCGGCGCGCGGCGCGUCCAGUCCCUGCGGCCCGCGCGCGAGGAGGAGGCGUUCCGGCUGGUCCGAGCCGUCAUGUCCUCGUCCACCGCGGCAGGAGGAGCUGCGCCGCCGCCGCUCGUGGACCUCGGCAAGCUGGCCGCCGUGUACGUCGCCGAGGCGUCGUUGCGCGCCAUCUUGGGCAGACGGUUCAAGGUCGAGGACCGGGACACGCUGCUGCGCUACGUGGAUGACGGCGUCCGGCUGGCCGGCGGGUUCACGCCCAGAGACCUGUUCCCGUCGUCGUGGCUCGUCCGCGCCCUGACCCACCGGGCCGUGCGCGAGGUGGAUGCCUACCGAGACUCCUUGUUCGCCUUCAUGGAUGUAGUGGUAGGUGAGCGCUUGGAUCGACGAGAAGGUCAACUGAAGAAGAGGAGGAGGAGGGAGAGGAUCUGAUUGACGUUCUCCUCCGGAGCCACAAGGAAGGAAACCUCCCGUUCCCUCUCACCAUGAGGACAAUCGAAGCGGUCAUAUUUGAUCUGAUCGGAGGGGGUAUCGAGACAGCAACAACAACGCUGCAGUGGGCGAUGGCUGAGCUGAUGAGGAAUCCAGGCAUCAUGGCCAAGGCACAGGCCGAGGUCAGGGGAUUGUUCAUGGGCCAAACCAAGGUAACCGAAGACCGGCUAGGUGAGCUACCCUACCUGCAGCUGGUCAUCAAGGAGACGCUGAGGCUGCAUGUCCCGGGGCCGCUGCUGAUCCCAAGGGAGUGCCAGGAGCAGUGCCGGAUACUGGGCUACGACGUGCCCAGGGGAGCCAUGGUGCUCGUGAACGCCUGGGCCAUCGCUCGGAGCCCGGAUCACUGGGAGGAGCCAGACGCGUUCGUCCCUGAGAGGUUCGUCGGUGACGCGAGGGAUUUCAAGGGCAACGACUUGGAGUUCAUCCCGUUUGGCGCCGGGAGGAGGAUCUGCCCUGGGAUGUCGUUCGGGCUGGCCAGUGGCCAACGUCGAGCUCGGUCUCGCCAGCUUGCUCUUCUACUUCGACUGGAGUCUCCCGGCGGGCGUCCUUCCUGCUGAGAUGGACAUGGCCGAGACCAUGGGGAUCACUGCUAGGAGGAAAGCAGACCUCUUCUUGUCUGCUACUCUGCGUGUCAAACUGCCUUAAUUUUCAUCUGAUCUGAUGGUACUCUAUGCCUAUGAGAUAUGCAGUGACUGUUACGGGACGGGCUAUCUGUGCUGCAGCGUGUGGAGCAGAGUAUUUCCAGUUUUUCUCCCUUAGACCGUCUUCCACAGUUCACCGCCUAAAACACUAUUUUACGUUGUAUAUCCCAAUUUUCGUG